AUUGAACGCUGGCGGCAUGCUUUACACAUGCAAGUCGAACGAGUGGCGAACGGGUGAGUAAUAUAUCGGAACGUACCGAGUAAUGGGGGAUAACCAAUCGAAAGAUUGGCUAAUACCGCAUAGUAUUCGAGAGGCCCAAAACUGAUUAGCUAGUUGGUGGGGUAAAGGCCUACAAAGGCGACGAUCAGUAGCGGGUCUGGGAGGACGAUCCUCCACACCGGGACUGUGAAACGGCCCAGACUCCUAAGGGAGGCAGCAGUGGGGAAUUUUGGACAAUGGGGGCAACCCUGAUCCAGCCAUGCCGCGUGUAUGAAGAAGGGUUUCGGGUUGUAAAGUACUUUUGUUAGGGAAGCGGUACCUAAAGAAUAAGCACCGGCUAACUACGGGCCAGCAGCCGCGGUAAUUC
rnacentral:rRNA from 1 species